CGGACGGGUGAGUAAUGUCUGGGAAACUGCCUGAUGGAGGGGGAUAACUACUGGAAACGGUAGCUAAUACCGCAUAACGUCGCAAGACCAAAGAGGGGGACCUUCGGGCCUCUUGCCAUCGGAUGUGCCCAGAUGGGAUUAGCUAGUAGGUGGGGUAACGGCUCACCUAGGCGACGAUCCCUAGCUGGUCUGAGAGGAUGGCCAGCCGCACUGGAACUGAGACACGGUCCAG
rnacentral:rRNA from 1 species